AGUGAACGCUGGCGGUAGGCCUAACACAUGCAAGUCGAACGGCAGCACAGUAAGAGUUUGCUCUUACGGGUGGCGAGUGGCGGACGGGUGAGGAAUACAUCGGAAUCUACUUUUUCGUGGGGGAUAACGUAGGGAAACUUACGCUAAUACCGCAUACGACCUACGGGUGAAAGCAGGGGAUCUUCGGACCUUGCGCGAUUGAAUGAGCCGAUGUCGGAUUCGCUAGUUGGCGGGGUAAAGGCCCACCAGGGCGACGAUCCGUAGCUGGUCUGAGAGGAUGAUCGGCCAAACGGGAACGGAGACACGUUCCGGACUCCAACGGAGGGCAGCGGUGGGAAAUAUGGGACAAUGGGCGCAAGCCUAAGCCAGCCAGACCGCGUGAGGGAAGAAGGCCUUCGGGUUGUAAAGCCCUUUUGUUGGGAAAGAAAAGCAGCAGGUUAAUACCCCGCUGUUCGGACGGUACCCAAAGAAUAAGCACCGGCUAACUUCGU
rnacentral:rRNA from 1 species